GGAGAGCAAGAGAGAGGGGGAGUAAAUUGAUGACAUAUACCCUGAACCACCGGGGACAAUGCUUUUGACCCUUCAGGUACUUGGAGCUCAGCCAAGAAUGAAAAUGCUUUUCAGAGACUGCGGGGACUUGUGGGAUAG